UAUUUUCGCGAAUUUGUCAACAACAUCUGUUGUAGUCUAGUUGGUUAGGAUACUUGGCUCUCAUACGAGUGACCUGGGUUUCAAAUCUUUGUAAAUCAUAGUAUUGUCAAUUCUUUAAACGUGGCUUCCAUGCCUGGCGUCCAUCUCUAAAUGCUUUCAUGCCUGCUUCUAUCUCUAUGGAUUUCCUUUCUUUUUUCAGUAUAAUAUCUCCUAUUCCUCAGUUAAAGAACUUCCCCUCUUCCAACUUUUUUAGUGUGUUGUUGUAGCAUUAAGGUAUUUCUUUUUGGUUGUUCUUUUCUCUUCGUCUUCAAUUUUUUCUUUAGAUUUUGUUUGUGCAUACAAAUAUGGGACAGUGAGGGGAAAGACAGGAUGAGAGUUCUUAUUUAUGUAUUUUUCAGAUCUAAUUUCAUGGAUUUAUGAAAUUAUGGGUCAAAAAAUCAGAGAGAAUUCGAAUUAGGGCAAAAAUUGAGAUAAAAAUGAUCUGACUCACUGCUCACUCAUCAGCAUCACAAUCAAAUCUGAAAAUUGUGUUACUCAAUCAAAUUUGGUUUUAAGGUUCCUAGAAUUUCGUUCUGAAUUUGAGUUUUAAUAAGGCUUUAAGCUUUGUUCUUUAUUAAAAUAUAUAUAAACAAGGGAUAACAAACAAAGAGGAAAAAUGAUCGAGAAGAGUUUGUUCCCCCUUUGUGAAAUUAGAGGGUUUUCCUGGUAAAAAUAUUUGUACUGUACACUUUAGUCUUCUAAUAUUUUGAAAAUAAUAAAUAUUGAACUACAUAAGUCCAACAAAAUCAACAAUAUAGUGAAAUGGUAUAUACAAGUUAUGUCGCUUAGGAAGUAACCGAACUAUUAAUUUAGAUUGUUUCUUUCAGGUUUCUGACUCUGUUGUUAUGAUUAAGUGUUCCUCAGUGCACUCAGCCUCCUUAACUUUGGAGGGGGGUUCUAAUCUAUGGGCACCCAAAAAGCAGCGGUUUUUCUUGUCGUAAAAAAAAUAAAGUCAACUAAUGUCUACAAUUUUGUACCGCAGAGGAUUCAUGUCAUUCUAUACAAUAUAUUUGUUCUCAACAGUGAUUAUGGUGGGUAUAAAUAAAAUAACAUAUAUUGAAUCCGUACUUGCACGGGCUUUUUGUAAUUUAUUCCCUGUGUGCAGUUGUCGAUGGACAUGUCAAACGACUGUAAGAUGAAGAUAUCCAAUUCAAUCUCCUGAAAAUUAUUGGAUUGAAUGUCCAGCAAGCAUACGUAACUGUGUCCUACAGAUCCUAAUGCAACUCUUGGCAUAAAGUUGCCCUUCUUAGUCAUGAUAGUGAAGAAUGUGAAGAAGUACUUCACCUUUGAAAUUCAGGUUUUAGAUGAUAAAAAUGUUUGGAGAAGAUUACGAGCUUCUAAUAUCAACUCUAUAUGUAGUGUCAAACUGGAAUGACGAUGGUGAUAGGCAAAUAUUGUCACUGUUAAGUCGUAAGCUAGAUAUGCAAGUUCAAGAUAGGAUCAUGUUAACUCACAUACCGUCCCCUGUAAAUACAUAUCGUGAACUUCUUACAGCAGAGCAGGAACUCAAAAACCCUACACGAGGAGCAUGAAUAAGGAAAAUAUCUUGUGGACACCCAACUAGAGAUUGCCACAACUAGCUUAAUGCAUCAACAGUGGAUCAGAUUUUAGAUAUAAAAUAUUUACUUACUGGCAACCAGGAUAUAUAUGAAACUGCGUUUUAUUCUCUGCUUAUUCAAUAUGGAAGAUUAGUGUCAUCCUCAGGAGAUCCACUUUGAAGUGAACGGAUUCAUAAUAUGAAAAAGCUUUAGCAUUGUCAAAUGUUAUAAGAGUGACUCUUUUUCUUUUUACAAAGGUUGUUCACUUGUCAAUUUGUCAAUUCAAUGUGUUUUAGAGAAGAAUACAAACUGAUGUAUCACACCGGUUGGAUUUAUCAAUUGAAGUGAAAUUUAAUAUAUUUUGAUACUUUC